rnacentral:rRNA from 1 species
AUUGAACGCUGGCGGCAUGCCUUACACAUGCAAGUCGAACGGCAGCGGACCUUCGGUGCCGGCGAGUGGCGAACGGGUGAGUAAUAUAUCGGAACGUACCUUUCAGUGGGGAGUAACGUAGCGAAAGUUACGCUAAUACCGCAUAUUCUGUGAGCAGGAAAGACAGGGGAGUCACAAGAACCUUGCGCUGAUUGAGCGGCCGAUAUCAGAUUAGCUAGUUGGUGAGGUAAAGGACUCACCAAGGCGACGAUCUGUAGCGGGUCUGAGAGGAUGAUCCGCCACACUGGAACUGAGACACGGUCCAGACUCCUACGGGAGGCAGCAGUGGGGAAGUUUU